UCCAUUAAUGAUCUGGUGAAUAUGGGUGUCAGAGAAAUGCUGCUUUGGUUGAGUUAGGUCUCUCUUCUAUUUCCUUCCUUGGAGGUGGGGCUUUGAAGCAUAUGCUCAAAUUUCCAAAAUGUGGCUAUUAGGAUUGGGGGCCAAAUGGAGAGACAUAACCACCAAUCCUGUGCUGACUGUCAUAAACUAGGGACAAUGGGCAAACAUGUUGCUGUCCAAACAAGGACAAAAAGCAAGUUUUAGAAAACAACCCAAAUAGAAACUUGCAGAAAAAAAUACUGAGCUGGGUUGGAGGGCUCUCCACACAGAGAAGGCUGGGGUCCCUUGUGUUCAGGGUCCACACUCACAUCAGCUCUGGCCGGAAGCUGUGGAUGAUAGCACACAGGGCCAAGCCGCUGCGCCAGGAUGUGGUCAGGUCAGUGACUCUGACAUGCUGGUAACCCUUGGUCUGCUGCUGGCACCAGAUGUGGAAGCCGAAAGACAAAGAGGAGAGGCCACAAAGAGUUAAGGUCACACAGGUAAUGGGUCAGGGCCAAGCUGGCUGUGGGUCUGAACAAGCUUCAUCCUCUGCACAGCUUGUCUCAGGGUCCCAGAAAGACAACUCACCUCGCCUGGAGAGGCUGACAGAUCUCCUCACCGAGCCCCAUCUCUCGAGAGGGAAGCGGUUCAUCUCCUUAGUGAUGUACAAAUGCUUCACCUAUGAACAGAAAAGGUCACAUAUCUGCCCACCAGUUCCCAGAUCCCAUGCCCCACACCAGACUCCCUGACACUACUUUCAUCAGGUGUUGGCUGGCACGGCUUUCAGCACACACCACAGGCCUGAACUGUCUUCCCAAAUGAGGGAGAACUGACAGUGAGUUUCUAAUUAGCUAAUAAGAACCUGUACUAAUAAUCUCCAUCCUAUUAAUUGAAGAAGGUAAAAAUUGGGUGCAUAAAAUCCCCAGAAUGAAGUACAGGCCCAUGCAUGAUAAGGAAGAGAGGAGAUACCUAGGAAAGUGGAUUAUUUUUGACAUAGAUAUAGUCAGUGUCACGGUGACAUUGUGAUUUGCACAGUGACAAAUUAACACAUGAAAACAUACACAAAUAUGCAAAUAAACACAGAUGUGUGCAGCACCA